GAUGAACGCUGGCGGCGUGCUUAAUACAUGCAAGUCGAACGGAAAUUCUUUGUUUUUGUGGGGUUCUCGUGUCCCAUACGGGUUUGUAACACGAGAGUAACCUUCACUCGACUUUGGGAUAACUUCAGGAAACUGGUGCUAAUACCGGACAGGUGCUCCUGCUGCAUGGCCGUGGUUGGAAAGUUUGGGCGGUUUGGGAUGGACGCGUGGUAUAUCAGCUGGUUGGUGGGGUAGUGGAUUACCAAGGCUUUGACGGGUAGCCGACAUGAGGAGGUGAACAGCGACAAUGGGACUAAGAGACGGCGCAGACGCGUACGGGAGGCAAUAGUGGGGAGUAUGACAGAGUGGGCGGAAGCCGGAUGCAGAGACGCCGCGUGCGGGAUGACGGCCUUCGGGUGGUAAACGGCUGUCAGCGGUGACGAAGCGGGAGUGACGGUAAUGAAUAAAGAAGCACCGGCUAAAUACGUG
rnacentral:rRNA from 1 species